ensembl:lncRNA
GGGAAUGCCCGGGGCGGCUCCUCCCGCGGCUUUUCCUUCCCGGAAUCCUUCGGGAACGGGAACCUGGGGUCUCCCCCGGCCUUCGGGGAUCCCCGGAGUCGGAUUUUCCCGGGAUCUCUUGGGAUUUUCCCGGGAUCUCUUGGGAUUUUCCCGGGAUAAUCCACGGCUGGAAUUCCCAAAAAAAAAACCCCUCAUUAAAAAUCGGGAUGGGUUGGGAAUCCUCGGGAUGAGUUUUCCCGGGAUAUUCCUCUCCUGGAGCAUUCCCAGACAGAUUUUCCAUCCUUUUCCCGCUUUUCCCAACUUCCCAAAACCCCUCGGAGCGCGGAUUUGGGGCGGAAUUUCGCUCCAAGAUUCUCCCGAGGUUGUUUUUUUUUCCCGCCCGGAUCCUUUCCCGAUAAAAAUCACGGAUUCCCUUUGGGAUUGGGGCAGAAUUGGGGGGCUUGGGGGCUUUUCCCGCUGCUUUUCCCGCCGCGGAUUCCCGGAAUUUUCCUUUCUCCCGCCCCCGGGGUUGGGAAUUUUCCCGGGAAUCCGCUUUUCCCGCCACUAACCGCAGCUUUUCCUUCUUUUCCUUGCAGCCGAAACUCCCGGGAACAUCCCCGGGGGACCCCCCGGCCCCUCUCCCCUCACCCCAAAUCCCCCAAAUCCCAUCCCAGCUUUCCCAGAUCCCAUCCCAACUUUCCCAGCUCCCGUCCCAGCUCCCGGCUCGUCCUCCCUCGCAGCCUCAGCCGCUUUCCCGACCUCCGUCCCGACCUCAUUCCCGGCCUCCAUCCCAACCCCGGCCGCCUUCGGAGCCGCCGCGCCCGGAGCCGCCCCCGGGGCUCUUCGGGGUCCCCCCGGCUCCGUUCCCGGAGCCCCCCGAGCAUUCCCAGUCCCCUCAUUCCCAGUCUUCCCAGCAUUCCCAAUCCCAGCAUUUCCCGCUGCCGGGGGGGAUGAAGGCGGCGGCGGCGGCGGCUCCGGCGCUGCUGCCUCCGGAACAUUCCCGGAGUUUUCCGCUGAUCCCGGCGCCUUUCCAGCCCUUGGCCGGUCCGGCGGCCACGCAGAAGGGUGGUCCGGAGAGAUUCCAGCAGGUGCCCCAGGGGCUGCUCCUGCAGCCGAAGCCGCCCUCGUCCAGCCCGGCCCCGUUCCCGGCUCCGGCCGCUCCCGUCCUGGUUCCGGCGGCUCCGGGAACGCCCGGCCCCGCCCUCGGAGCCGGUGCCGGCGGCAGCGCGGCCUCAGGUGGGUCUGGAAUCCCGAAAUUUCCAUAUCCCGAAAUUGCCAUAUCCCAAAAUCCUGAUAUCCCAAAAUCCCGAUAUCCCGAAAUUCCUGUAUCCCAAAAUCCCAAUAUCCCGAAAUCCCAAUAUCCCCGUAUCCCGAUAUCCCGAUAUCCCAAAAUCCCGAUAUCCCGAUAUUCUGAUAUCCCCAAUCCCGAUAUCCCGAAAUCCCAAAAUCCUGAUAUCCCGAAAUCCCGAAAUCCCGAUAUCCCAGAAUCCUCACAUCUCAAAAUCCUGAUAUCCCGAUAUUGUGAAAUCCCAAUAUCCCUAAAUCCCGAUAUCCUGAUAUUCUGAUAUCCUAAAAUCCCGAUAUCCCAGAAUCCUGACAUCCCAAAAUCCUGAUAUCCUGAUAUCCCAAUAUCGUGAAAUCCCAAUAUCCCGAAAUCCCAAAAUCCCCGUAUCCCAAAAUCCCGAUAUCUCCAAUCCCGAUAUCCCAAAAUCCUGACAUCCUGACAUCCCAAAAUCCCCGUAACCCAAAAUCCCAAUAUCCUGAUAUCUCAAUAUCCCACAAUCCCGACAUCCCGAAAUCCCAAUAUCCCCAAACCCCCAUAUCCCGCUNGGAAUUCACAAAAAAAUCCCAGGAAUUCACAAAAAAAUCCCGGGAAUUCACAAAAAAAUCCCAGGAAUUCCCAAAAAAAUCCUGGGAAUUCCCAAAAAUCCCUGGCCCUGAGUGAUUCCAGCAGGGAAAUCCCGGUGGGAAUUCCCAGGAAUUUGGAUGGAUAAAUCCCAGCGGGAAUUCCCGGGAAUUCCAGGAUUUGAUGGAUAAAUCCCAGUGGGAAUUCCCGGGAAUUUGGAUGGAUAAAUCCCAGUGGGAAUUCCCAAGAAAUUCCAGGAUUUGAUCGAUAAAUCCUGGUGGGAAUUCCCAGGAAUUCCAGGAUUUGAUGGAUAAAUCCCAGCGGGAAUUCCAGGAUUUGAUGGAUAAAUCCCGUCAGGAAUUCCCAGGAAUUCCGAGAUUGGAUGGAUAAAUCCCAGCGGGAAUUCCCG